ACAUUGAAACCAAGAGGCGAAGAAGAUUACGUAAAUGAGGUGUUUACCUGUUGAUGAGCAACGAUUCUGGGGAUUCGAGCUAAACGAGGACGAGCUUCCACGCCAAAAGCAAACACGAACGACGGCUACGACGUUUCAAUGGAAUAUCACAGUCGAACACACUAAGACGAAACAGAACGUAUCUCUCGAUUUCUUCUCAAUUCCCUUUGUUUAUCUGUGUGCUUAUUACGUUUUUGGUAAACCUUUCUAAGACAGAUUGAACGCUACUCUCGAAAAAAAUCGAACAGAAAAAAAAAACAGUAGAACAACCUUCUGAGGAAAUCUCAAUCUAAUUUUUUCCAACCCCUUUUCUGAAGAAGAUGGGGGUUUAUAUAGAAAAAAAAAUUAGGGUUCUUCGAGGGAGAGGGCUGGCAGAUGCCCUUUCAGGCCCAUCAAAAUUUGAAAAACCAAUUCCCAAAUCUUAUCCAAAGGUUGAGGGAAUUUGCCCUGAAGAUGCUCUCGAAUUCGUCCCAUUCCAACGGAAAGGAAGCAUACGUAGAGGGCUCGGAUCAAUCGCUUGUCCUUGCACCAUUAUGUGGAGUGAUCCUACGCUACAAGGACGAAAUUUGCAGCCUUCCCUACUGCAGAGCUACACGAGCGCACUGCUGUACGGGUGAAGGAGGAAGAAGACACGAAAGUUGUUGCUUACGCUCGCGUGAGGCGCGUCGUUGAAGGGGAAGAAGAAGAUCGUUGGGGAAUUUUGCACGUGAAGGAGAUGCGGGGGGGGGGGGGUUCACGCUGCUGGGUUCUGUUUUCAGGGAAUUUCUGUUUUUGGGGAAUUUUCGCGUCUGGGUUGGGAAAAGGAAGAAGGGAGAAACAAGUUUGGGGUUGGGUUAUUGGCAUUGGGUCGGGUAGGUGGAAAGGGGUUGGGCUGGAGGGGAAUUGGGUUGGGCUGGAGGGAAGGACAUAAAGCUCCAACUUUGGUUUUAUUAUUAUUUUUUUUAAAAAAAAAAUUGUAAAGGAGGGUGUUGGGCCGUCUGGGGAAUAAAAGAAUUGGGUUGACGUUUUAGCUUUAGUGGGCCGGGUAGGGGGAAAAAUAAAAGGAAAAGGAUUGAAGUGGGCUGUUGAAAGGGAGAAAUUGGAGUGGGCUUGGGAAUUAAUUAAAAUGGAGUGGGCUGGAAGGGAAUAAAAGGGAGAAGGGAAUUGAGUUAAUGUAAUAAAUAGCCAAAUAGAGUUAAGAUGAUAAAUUUGGCAACACCUUAAAUAAAACGAAUUUGUAUUAAUUAAUUAACGAGCUUCUCAAUUUUAGUAAUAUAAUUAAAAAUAGUGAUUCAAAAUAAUCAUAAUUUAAAACUAAGAUAGAGUGCUUACUAAAAUUAAAAUAUUUUUGAGAUGGUUUUUGAAUAAUCCUAAAAUAUACUAAUUAUAUACAUAACUAUGUAAAAUAUAUAUAUUAUCUAAAAAUUAUGAUAAAAGUAUCCGAAGUAACAUAAAGUCCAUGCAUUAUAUUAUAUUUUCGCAAAAUUUAUAAAACUAAUUAAUUUAAAUUGUUUGGACAACUUACGAAGCUCGAGAAUUAAUUUAUACCGACGGAUCAAAAUUGAGUGUCAACAACUGUCCCCCGUUUUACUUGGGUUGAUGCAAUCAAUUCUAGGAAAUUGAAAUUGACCAAAUCAAUUUUGACCAACCCCGUUCAUCUUUAAAGGAAGGAUUUGGCAGAAGGUUUAAGAAUCAUGACCGAACCCUUGAAACGGGUUUCCUACAUAUCUAAGGCUAUAUGAGAAUUCAGGCCACUUGUAGUUCGAUAAGUUUGAUUCAACGCACGAUUUUGAAGGAAUAUCAAUAACCACCUCGAUACCGAAUUAUGAAGGUAUCAAAAUGCUCGAGAAUAAAAUUUGAGAGCGAAUGUUGGAAUACAGCCGAGUUUUCAACAUUGAAUCCGCCUAUGUAUCUUUAAACCUUCAAGAAUCAGGCUGUGUGUAGUUUGACUCGAUCGGUUGAAAAGAAAAUCUAUUAUGCUAGAUAAAAUUUGGUUUUGGAUAAGUGACAAGUUAAACGAGUAUGAAAAGGAGGCUUGUAACCUCUUAGCCAUGCAUGUGGCGCGCUUCACACCCAUAAUUAAGAUCUUACACUGACAUAAUUUCCAAAUCUCUUGGCGCAUUGUCACUCAGAUUGGAAACUUGCUUCCGGUAAAUCGAAAUUUUUGGAUGCGAGACUAAAACUGACAGACCUAAAGAAAUACCUACAUGCUUUUGAUAGGGUUGGUUCGAUCGUGGUGAAAGUCGCUCCUCUGCUCGUGUCCCAAGAGUUUGACAUUCCUCUUUGGACUAUGUCCCAGUUCGCUGCUAAGGAAAAGUUCCACGUUGUGCCGCAUCCUUUUUUAUGUCGUCCGCACCAGUGGUUUUUGGAGAAUUCAUCCUUUUUGGAUGCUCUCGACUAAGACUGAGAUAAAAACUCUUCAGCUUAAAAAAGAAAUUAGGAUGGGAGACAAUGUCUUUUACCAUGUCGACAUUUCAUUGUUCUCCUCAAUAUUCGACGUCGACUCGAUUGGUCUGACGUACAGCAAAUAAAGCUUAUGAUUUGUGUUUUGCAAUAUAAUCUUCAAGGUACUCUUCAUUUGACGUUGAAAUAAAUAAAUGAAUGCUGAUGCGAUAUUAAUAUUUCUUUUGCCGUCACCUUUGAUGCUCUUCUUGUUUUUUACUUUUACAAAAACAAAAGAAUGUGGUUGAUGCCGAUGGAUAAAUAUUGCUCUUGGGAUGCACAAUUUCCUUUUCUUUAUCCAUGUAUGUCUUCUUGCGGGGCGUGAAUAUCGGGACGUGAAUAUAUUCUCGUGAUACGUAAAUUCCUGCGAGGUAUGAAAUCUUCUCACAAUGAUAACUUUCGGCGAGGCAUGAAAUUUUCUCGCGAUGCGCACAUUUCAACAAGGCAUGGAAUCUUCUCGUGAUGCAUAAACUCCAGCGAGGUAUAAAGUCUUCUCGCGAUGUAUAAAUUUUUACGAGGCAUGAGAUCUUCUCGUCGCUUAACUAUUGACUCGCGAUGCAUGAUUUCUGCGAAGCAUGAUUUUCAACGAGGCAUGGAUUCUUCUCGUGAUGCAUAAAUUCCAGCGACGUAUGAAGUCUUCUCGCGAUGUAUAAAUUUGACGAGGCAUGAAAUCUUCUCGUGAUGCAUAAAUUCCAGCGAGGUAUAAAGUCUUCCCGCGAUAUAUAAAUUUGACGAGGCAUGAAAUCUUCUCGUGAUGCAUAAAUUCCAGCGAGGUAUAAAGUCUUCCCGCGAUAUAUAAAUUUGACGAGGCAUGAAAUCUUCUCGUAAUGCAUAUAUUCCAGCGAGGUAUAAAGUCUUCCCGCGACAUAUAAAUUUGAUGAGGCAUGAAAUCUUCUCGUAAUGUAUAAAUUCCAGCGAAGUAUAAAGUCUUCCCGAGACAUAUAAAUUUGACGAGACAUGAAAUCUUCUCGUGAUGCAUAAAUUCCAAACUCGCGAUGCAUGAUUUUCCGCAAUGCAUGACUUUUCGCAAUGCAUGAUUUCCGCGAUGCAUGAUUUCCCGUGAUGCAUGAUUUUCCACUAUGCACGAUUUUCGCGAUGCAUGAUUUUCCACAAUGCAUGACGUCCGCGAUGCAUGAUUUUCCGCAAUGUAUGACUUUCCGCAAUGCAUGAUUCUCCGCGAUGCAUGAUUUUUAACUCGCAAUGCAUGAAUAUUUAUAUCAUCUUUGUUGAUGAUAACGGCAAGACGACCUCCAGAUAAUAUAUCGCCUUGAUCGAUAAUAAAAUAAUAAUAAAAUAACUAUCCCUUCUGGGGUAAUGCAUUGUCUUGAUUGACAAUAAUUAUCUUGCUUCAUAAUGUGAUGCAAAUAGCGUCCUUUACGGAAAUCGUGAAAUCUUCGUUGAGAUUCCUGUUUGAUUCACCUUUGAAUCUGGCUAGACACUCUUUGUAAAUUUCAUAUUGUUGGAAAUUGCUUGAAAUAAACAAACCACAUUCCCUAGUCUUCGACAUAACCGAUAUGAAAUGCUUCCUGCUCUCAGCAAAAUUAUUGGUUUUGGGGAUAGUUUUCUCCUCUUUGGGAGCUCUCUAUAUUCAUUCGUCGGGAGAAUUUGGCCAAUUUCAAAGCAAAGCUAUAAACCUGCAUCCACAGAAAAAUUGUCAGUUUUAAAAACAUAUUGAUCUGUGUCGAUUUCUUCAGUUGUUUGCUCCUUGUCUUGAUAUCUCCGGUUGAUUUCCCGAUUUCCCGACUAUUGAUAGAUAAGCCAAAAUAUUUUAUGCCAAAACAAAUGAAACAUAAAAGGGAAAAUUUGAGAGAAAUAAAAAAUCUUUAAGAAAUAGUAUCUUGAUAAGGUCACUGCCAAGUCAUGUCAUAUCAUGCUUAACAAGCUUCUUUGAAUCUGACACUCCAAAAGGUCUAUCUGAUCAUUCGCUGAUGGGUUUCAGGGUCACUCCGGACUUGUAGGGUAGAUUCUAACGAAAUUUUGAGGCCAUUCUCAAUAUUUCUGUCCCAGUUUACUAUCUUGCUUAUCUUUCCACUGUAACUGAACAGAUCGCGAGAUUUUUGAGAUCUUCUCAAAAAUUCUGUCCCAGUUGCAAAUCUCGAAAUAUCCUUAGUUUGACUUGCUGAGGAGGAACCUUCUUCUGGAGAAUUUUGAGUCUCUCAAAAAUUCUGUCCCAGUUUCAUUGCAAAAGGGAAUAGAACUUAUGGGAGAUAUGACCGAACCCUUGUGGCGCCUACGUAUCCCGUUGAGGCAGGAAUCAGGUCAAACGUAGUUCCCCUUAAAGGUUAACAAGAAUAAAUUUUACAAAGAAACCGACCAAGGCCGGUAAAGGCCGCCUACGUAUCUCAUUCUUGAGAAUUCAGGUCGAACGUAGUUCAGAUACAAAGAAAUAAUUUAAGGGGAUAAACGGGGUGACCGAAGCCGACAUAGGCCGCCUACAUAUCUCGUUUUCAAGAAUUCAUGUCAGACGUAGUUCAUUAAAAGAGGGAUAAGAAUUCAAAUGGAACAAAUACAAGCAAACAGAACGAUUACAAGUAAAUCAUAGAAAAUGCAAAAUGAACUUCACACAUAGUAUCUCUUGACAGCAUCUGAGUUGAUAGGUUUGGACCAUACAGUGCCAUCCAUCUCCGACAGGAUCAAAGCACACCCAAAUAAUACUUUACGAACCAUGUUUGGCGCGAACUUUCCUUUGUAUUCGUCUUGAUGAGGAAAAAUAUGCUUAAGAACCAACUGACCGACUUCAAAAUUUCUGGCCCUUACUCUUUUAUGAAAGGCGCGAGUCAUUCUCUGUCUAUACAACUGGACAUGGCAAACGACAAUCAUUCUCUUUUCAUCUAAUCAAAUCUAGUUGAUCAAUCCGUUUGCUAACCCAUUCAGCGUUACUUAACUCAGCUUCUUGGAUGAUCCUCAAUGACGGUAUCUCAACUUCAACAGGUAUGACUGCCUCUAUUCCAUAUACUAGCAAGUAUUGAGUAGCACCAGUCGAUGUUCUGACUGUCGUUCGAUAACCUAGUAAAGCGUAUGACAACAUUUCAUGCCAACCUCGAUGUUUGUCAAUCAUUUUCCUCAAGAUCUUUUUGAUAUUCUUGUUGGCGGCCUCUACAACUCCGUUCAUUUGGGGGCGAUAAGCAGUUGACUUUCGAUGAAUAAUCUUAAAUUGCUCACAUAUCUCUCUCAUCAAAUGACUGUUGAGGUUUGCACCGUUAUCUGUAAUGAUGGAUUCUGGAACUCCAAAUCUGCAUAUUAGAUUGUUGCGGACAAAAUCGGCAUCCUCUUUCUUGGUUACCGACUUGUAAGAAGCUGCCUCCACCCACUUGGUGAAAUAAUCAAUGGCAACCAAAAUGAAUCUGUCCAUUAGAAGCGCCUGGCUCUAUAGGACCGAUGACGUCCAUUCCCCAAGCAACAAAUGGCCAAGUUGAGCUCAUAUCAUUAAGUUCGUGAGGUGGCACCCGUAUCAAAUCGCCGUGCACUUGACAUCUGUGGCAUUUUUGCACGAAUUUGCAACAGUCAUUCUCCAUAGUCAUCCAGAAAUAACCGGCUCGAAGAAUCUUUCUUGCCAAAGUAAGUCCAUUCAUAUGUGUACCACAAACUCCAGCAUGUAUCUGUUCAAUAAGCCUCACAGCUUCAGCAGCAUCCACACAUCUUAAAAGACCUAAGUCUGGAGUCCUCCUAUACAGGACUUCUUCAUUUAGAAAGAAAUUGAGAGUCAUACAGCGUAUCGACUUCUUCUGAUUGGAUGUAGCGUCUUCUGGAUAUGUCCCAGACUCCAAGUACCUCUUUAUGUCAAAAUACAAAGGCAAACCGUCUUAUUCUAAUUCAACAUGUGAACAAUGGAGUGGAUGUUCCUUCAACUCUAUAUCCAGCGGGUCGAUGUAAUCAGUAUCCGGAUGUUUGAUCAUCGAAGCGAUGGUGGCAAGAGCUUCGGCUAAUUCAUUCUGUAUUCUGGGAGUAUGUCUGAACUCGAUCCUGCGAAAUCUUUUGCACAGAUUUUGCACAUAUUGUACGUAAGGUAUAAUUUUUUCGGGUUCUUCACAGCCCAUUCACCUUGAACCUGAUGAAUCAAGAGGUCUGAAUCUCCAAUAACCAAUAGCUCGUAAACAUCCAUGUCGAUGACCAUUUUCAAACCAAGAAUACAAGCUUCGUAUUCAACCAUGUUGUUUGUGCAAUUAAAUCGGAGUUUAGCUGCCAUGAGAUAGUGCUGACCGGAUUCUGAUACUAAGACUGCUCCAAUACCCUUACCUUGAUGAUUUUCUGCUCUGUCAAAGAAUAAUCUCCAACCUGGGUGUGCUUCAGAAAUAUCUUCACCCGCAAAUGACACUUCUUCAUCGUGAAAAUAAGUCUUGAGUGGUUCGUAUUCUUCAUCCACGGGAUUUUCUGCAAGAUGAACAGCCAAAGCUUGUGCCUUUAUUGCCUUCUGAGUCACAUACACGAUAUCAAACUCACUCAACAACAUUUGCCAUUUAGCUAACUUUCUAGUCGGCAUCACUUUCUGGAAAAUGUACUUCAAUGGAUCCAUUCUGGAAAUGAGAUAUGUAGUAUACGAAGACAAAUAAUGUCUCAAUUUCUGGGCAAGCCAUGUCAGAGCGCAACCUGUACUUUCCAGCAAAGUGUAACGAGACUCGUACGGAGUAAACUUCUCGCUUAUAUAGUAGAUAACCCUUUCUUUCUUUCAUGUCUCGACGUGUUGAUUAAGUACACAUCCGAAGGCACUAUCUGAAACAAACAAAUACAGCAACAAAGGACUCCCUUCUCGCGGAGGAACCAAUACCGGUGGGUUAGACAAAUAGCUCUUGAUAGCAUCGGAAGCAGCUUGGCACUCCCCAGUCCACUUAGUCGGGGCGUCUUUCUUCAGCAAUCUGAAAAUAGGCUCACACACCACUGUUGAUUGGGCUAUAAACCGGCUGAUAUAGUUUAACCUCCCUAAGAAACUCAUCACCUCUUUUCUCGUUCUCGGCGGAAGUAACUCUUGAAUUGCUUUAAUCUUGGAGGGGUCAAGCUCAAUACCCCUUCUGCUGACUAUAAAUCCCAACAACUUCCCAGCUGGGACUCCAAAAGCGCAUUUGGCGGGAUUUAACUUCAAGUUGUACCGACGCAAACGUUCAAAGAAUUUUCUCAGGUGUGUCAAAUGAUCUGAAAUCUCACAGGAUUUGGUUAUGACGUCGUCCACGUACACUUCAAUUUCCUUAUGAAUCAUGUCAUGGAAAAUAGUCGUCAUGGCUCUCAUGUAAGUGGCACCGGUGUUCUUGAGGCCAAACAACAUCACCCUGUAGUGAUAUACACCCCAAGGUGUAAUGAAUGCCGUUUUUUCGCGUCUUCUUCAUCCAUCAAAAUUUGGUGAUAACCUGCGUAACAGUCCACAAAUGACUGCAUCUCGUGUUUGGCACAGUUGUCAAUCAAAAUAUGGAUAUUUGGCAAUGGAAAAUUAUCCUUCGAACUAGCCUUGUUGAGAUCCCUAUAAUCAACGCAAAUCUUGAUUUUCCCGUCCUUCUUGGUGACCGGGACGACGUUGGCCAACCAGGUUGGAUAUUGCGUUAGUUCCACCAAUCAAGACUCUAUUUGCUUGGUAAUUUCUUCCUUAAUCUUUAAACUCAGCUUAGGCUUGAAUUUUCGAGUCUUUUGUUUCACCGGCUCGAACCCUGGGUUGAUAGGUAGCUUAUAAGAUACGACAUCGGUACUCAACCCAUGCAUAUCACCGACUUCCCAAACAAACACAUCAUUGUAUUCGGCAAGCAAAUGAAUCAGGCUCUCGUUCUGAGUUUCAUUCAGGUAGGUGCUGAUUUUAACCUCUUUGACACAUCCCAAAUCUCCCAAAUUCACUGUUUCCGUCUCCUCUAGAUUCGGUUUAUGCUGAUUCUCGAACUUUCGAAAUUCCUCUGCAACAUAAUCUGGUUCCCCACUUUCUUCUUCAUAGUCGUCAACCUUGUCGUCAUUCGUCUCAUUUUGUUCAUUUAGCUCAUGACAUGACAUGACAUUGGCGGGUCUGUAACUUAUGUUACUGAAAUCAUAAACAAACAAAAUUAGGAAAGUAAAGUAUAACGAACAACUGAAUAAAGAAAGUUAAAAAAAUAAAGAGGCUUUCAUUUAAAACAAAAUGCAAACUUUGGUCAUGGCACAGGGCCAUGUUGCCCUUUUUAAACAUCACAACGAAAAUUCAAAAUUCAAACAAUUAAGAAAAAUGCAGAAAUGAUGGGUCUCGGAUCUCUCCGGACAACCACCAAUUUUAGUGUGCAUAAAAUAACUCCUUUCUACCGAAGAGUUCGGGACAUCAGGAUCGGCGUGGAAGUCCAUUUCUGCAGCACCUCCCUAGUUCAACAUCACGAAUAUCAACUGACUCGACCUCCUCCUCGAUAAUAGCAUUGAUCUCCUUGAAGAGGUCAUAGAUUCCUUCCCCACAGUCUUCGGGCCCGGCACACUCCCGGAUUGGAAAGGAUUGAUACAAAUGCGGGAUCGGUUUAGCCAACUCUUGAUCCUUUUUCUUCUUCAUCUUCACGUCGUCAUCUGUGGGGAUGUACCCCAAACCAUAUUUGGAUCCUUUAACAAGGACCGGAACAGGUUGAAUAAUUCCUUGGGAAUCUCUUCCCAAUCCGAAACCUGGCUCGAACCCAUUCUGCAGCAUUACCGUGGCUAUCAGUUUGUACACGGCUGGCAUGGGGGUCUGCGGGGCCAAAUCCUCAUCGAUGGCAUUUACCAACUCCACCGUGUAGAAGUCCGCACCUUGCGGCAUCUCGUUAAUGACCGGCACCUGCUUGCCUAAGUGACUUCUCUCACCGUGAACAACUAGCUCCUCAUUUUUCCGUACCAGCUUCAUCAUUUGAUGGAGAGUGGAGGGACGGCUCCAGCCAUGUGAAUGAACGGCCUUACCAAAAGAAGGUUAUAACUAGUGUCGAUAUCCAACACUUGGAAUUUUGCGCUGAACUCCGCGGGGCCCAUUUGAAGGGUCAAGUUCACCGCCCCUAAUGUGUCUCUUUGCACACCAUCAAACGCUCUUACAUUACCCUGGUUUUGCUCCAAUUUUCCGAGGUCAAACCUCAGCUGUCUCAAUGUCUACAAGGGGCAUGUAUUCAAACCAGAUCCAUCAUCUACCAAAACACGAUUGACGACCUUUCCACGACAUAUCACAGUAACGUGCAGAGCUUUGUUGUGGGUUCUCCCUUCGGCUGGCAACUCAUCGUCACAAAAGCUAAUACGGUGCCCCCGAAUGACUUGAUGAAUCAUGGCAGCUACAUUAUCGCUGCUUGUACCUGAGGGCACGUACGUAUCAUAAAGAGCUUUCAUCAAAGCCUGUUGGUGGGACUGAGAGCUCAUCAAUAGGGCCCACACGGAUAUCUGAGCCGGAGUUUUCUCCAAGUGUUUGACAAUGGAAUAAUCUUUCGGUUGCAUCCUCCUCUAGAACUCUUCUGCUUCUGCUGCGCUGAUUGGCCCCUUGGCAUGGUCUUUCUUCUGUCCUCCGAGAGCAAGCUCAUCAAGAGUGUAGUAUCUUCCGGACCUGGUCAUGCCUUGGGCCACAGCGGUUUCGAUGACAAAUUUGGGCUUGACGAGAGUUUUCGAGGGCACCAAGGCAACAACCUUUGUAGGUGUCAGAAUAACAAAUUCUCUCUUUUCUUUGACGCUUAAAGAAGUGACAGCCCUUUCCAAGUCCUCCUGCGCAACAGGGGUAAUCCUCUUUGUUCCACACCCGUCCUCGUCUGUUUCAAUCAUAUUAAUGUUGCCACCCCCAUGAUUUGGCAAUGGGUUUGUAUUGACGUUUGGUGCCACCGGUUGGAGGGAGACUACCUCCUGAUCGAUCAGAUCCUUGAUCUUGUGCUUAAGAUUGAUACAGUCUUCUGUGUCAUGUCCAAUACCGUUGGAAUGAUAAGCACAUCUUUGCUCCGGUUUGUAGAACUUAGAGUUGACAUCCACGGGCUUGGGCCCCACAGGGUGGAUGUAUCCGGCCGCAGAUGGUCUUUCGAAUAGUUUGGUCCGGCUUUUAUCCAGUGCGGUAAAGUUCCUCGAAGGCCUUUUUUUAACCUGGGACUAGAAGGAUCAUACCCGCUUUGCUGAGGGGUAGGAACCUGUUGAUAAUUGCCGGGUAUUUGGGCGAGGAACUUGGGUUCUAGGGUAGGGGUUUGUCUGGUAAUUUGGCACUGGAGCUUGGUAAUUCGGGAGGGGGUUUUGAUAUGCUGGAGCUUGGACUUGAUAUGUGGGCGGAGGUGCUCGGUAGCUCGACUGUACAUUGGCACAGUUGGGAGCAAUAUUUUUAUAAGGGGGUGGAAUUUGGUAAGAUUGGGGGUAAUUUGGGUACGUGGGGAAUUUUUUUUGGAGAUUUAGGGGUGGAUUUUGGUACGACAAAAUUUGUGCAUUUGGAUAAGUGAGGGCAGUAUUAUGGUUGUUGGGAUGAUUGGAUUGUGGGUAAUAGGCUUGGUGAGACUUUGGUGAAGGCUUGGAGCGAUCUUGAGAAUGCGAUGAGUUUCUAGGAGUUUUUCUUUCCCCAUAUGAAACAGCGGCAACUUCAUCUCUUUUCUUCUUCAUCAAUCCGGAAGAUUCAAGUGACACGGAUACUCGGGAUAUCUUCCCCAACUUCAGAUCGUAUUCGAUAGUUUCGCCAGCUUUGACUAUCUCGGCGAAUUUGGCUUCGACUAACAAAAUGAUUCUGUCAUAGUAUUCAUUCUUUUGCACCCGUACAAACAGUUCUACAAUCUCCUUUUCAGUCAUUGGAGGCCUCACCCAUGCUGCUUCUUUCCUCCAUCUAUAGGCAAAUUUCCGAUAGCUUUCAUUCGGUUUCUGCUUCAUCUUCUCUAGAGAAUACUGAUUAGGAACUAUCUCGACAUUGUACGCAAAUCGGUCAAUGAAGUCUUUAGCUAACACGCUCCAACUGGGCCACUGCCUGGUUUCAUGUGACGUAAACCACUCGAGGGCCUCCCCACACAGACUACGGCUGAAAAGCCUCAUCAAUAAAGCCUCAUCCUUGCCAACUCCCACGAGCUGGUCACAGUACGCUCUCAAAUGCGCCAUGGGAUUGCCUACUCCUCCGAAGGUAUCAAACUUCGAAAUUUUGAACCCUUCGGGAAGGUUCAAAUCUGGGUGGAUACACAAUUUUGCAUAACUCAGUCCGGCGACAUCUGGGAUGCACUGCAGCUCUUCAUAGACCUCGUAGUGAUCCAACUCCGAACCGUGCACCUCGUGCUCGGCAGGAAUGGGAACUUGGAAGGUAGUUCUUUUUGGGAGGGGUGGAGCUAUAGAAUGACUUGGGACGUUUUGGGCGGUUUGGUAGUUUUGUGGGAAGGUUUGAGGAUUGGUGUUUUGAUUUAAGUGGGGAUGCGGUGUGGGGGGUGAAGGCAGUUGGAUUUUGGUUUUGAUUCUGUGGCGGUGGGGUAGUUUGAGUAUUCUGGGGAUGGGGUGACAUUUGAGGAUGGUUAUUUGGUAGAGGUGAGGGAGUUUGAUAAGAUAAUGAAUCAAAAUGGGGGUUUUGGGUGGUUAAAUCUAUCAUAGACGGAUUAUGCACAGGUGUCGAUGGCUGGUAUUGAGUCGGAUCCAUGUUUGACGAAGGGAAGUAAAUCAGAGGUCUUGCAUCAACAAAAUUAGGGCCAAAUCCGAGUGGAGGCGUAUCCUGCCUCCGCUGCAUUUCGACUCUCAUUUCGGCUAUCUGUUGCAUCAGUUGCACGAUUAGUUCAUUCUGCUCGGCUAUAGUGGGCUGAGCCACCACAACGUCUGUGAGACUAACUUCGUCGUUAUUGUCUCCCUAUAAAUGUCUUUCCUUUGUCUGAAUUUGGUCUGUGGAAGGAAUCUGUAGGACCUUUCGAUCAGUUCAUCCAGCUUUGAUCGACACAUACCAGUUAAAAGUACCUGAAAAGUGAAACAACUCAAAGGCAGAUUUGUUAGCGCAUAUUCGGAGUACGAAAUGCAUAAUAUCACACAGAGAGCAGAUAAACACACAAGUUGCUUUGUUUGAGGAUAUCUUUAACCCACGAAUGAGGACGAGAAUAGAUUUUUUAACAAGCAGGAAUUUGCUUUUUUUUUUUCGACGCGAUCUCGGGAAAGCUAAAUUAUGUUGAGCUACGGUCUUCUUGCAGCUGCUUUUUGAUGUCCGUUGAUCUGAUCUUCAAAUCUUUCGUAACAUGAAGGAGAACAAAAUUUUUUAAAGAUAGGAGCCGGGCCGGGAAAGGCUGCCUACGAAUCUCACAAGGAGAAUUCAGGCCCAACGUAGUUCGAGUUUAGGAUGAAAUAUUUUCAUUCAUUCUUUCAUUGCGAUUACAAGGAAAUUGAAAUACAACAUUGAAAUUCUUAAAAGAUGACGAAAACACUUUAGUCAUUUUUCCUCCUGUUGUUGUGUCACUCCCUUCCUUUCAGACGAUCUGGAAAUGGAGGCCUGUAGACGAUUUCUUCCUUGUCGUCCACCUCAGUCAAUUCGUUGUCGGGGCCAUUUUUGUCUGCUCCCUAUUUACAAGCGAGGUAUUUUCCGCCUUUCAAGUUGCUACGGGUCGUCAAUUCCUUAUCAAGUGACGCACUUCUGGCAAACAGUACGAUAGUCUCAACAUCUAUCUUUGCCUCUCUCGCCUUUCCUUCGUGCACGUUCAAACGAAGCAUGUCCAACCUUUUUCUCAAGCUUUCAGUUUCCAUCUCAACCUCUUUCUUUCUUUUUAUCUGCGAUUCCAGAUCCUCAUCCAAUGUCACGGAUGCAGCUUUGUAAAUUGAUGUGGUUAUGUCAACUCUGAGCCCUUCUUCCUUGACCUUCUGAAUUUCCUGAGUGACUCGUUCGAUCUUUCUUUGUAAAUCCUCUUCAGUGAGUUUCGUGUGGAUGUUCUUACCCUUUUCCAUAGAGGUAAUUUGCCUUUACUGAGACGAUAGAGCAGUAUUUAGGAUUUGUGGUGUAGGAGAUAGCCUUUUGAGUGAGAAACUUGAGACUUGGGAAUUUUGGUCGGACAUUUGUAAUAGUGGCUUCCAUAUAUUCUUUGGGAAUUUCUGGAUAGGAGUGAGUUUACGAUAUCCUCAUUCAUAGCAACAUAACACAUAAACAGUUAAACACACAUAUAUAUCGCGUCCUUAAACAUAAAAGGGGACCCUUUUGUGUCAAGGGUAGGCCUAGCGCAUUCGAAUGAUGUACGUGUGAAUUUGAACCAAAUAAACAAUUCCCCCCCUCCCAAAUAACAUUUACUAAUGAAUAAUAAUGUUCGCAAAAAGGGAAACAAACAUAAAGACAAACCCACGCAGGGGCAAAAGCAGUGUAAAUACAUGUAAAAACCUACGCAGGGGCAAUAUCUACUAUGCUUCUCCGGAUGAUCCUGCUCCGUCGCCGUCUCUCUGAAUUUUGUGUUACUAGAAUAUAUACCUCAGCAUCAGUAAAAAACCUUCCCCCAGGCGUCCUUUGUCUUCCAAACUUUCGUAUCGCAUCCUCUCGAUUUUCUCCUGAAUCCAGUUAUCAAAGUCAUCGUAACCACGCCUCAGUCUUUCAACCUCUCGAGUCGCCCUCUCAAGAGCGUCUUGAUUCUCUACAAACUUAGCGUACACCUCCUUGGCCUCUUCCUUUAUCUCUUGUAGCUCGGCCACUGAUUUGGCCUCUCUGUCCGUUACACUGCGAAAGCUACGGGGAGUCUGAAAUGAGAUGUUUUGUAUGUCCUUCUUUAGCCAUUCUUUGUAACCCUUGUCAUACCCAACAUUGAAUCGGUCAGGGGCGAUGAUGUCUUUAUCCAUACGCUUAGUGUUUUUCCAUUCUCUAAACAUUUCCGAAGUGUCGUGCACUCUAUCAUCUCCAAUGUCAUACACAUAAGUGCCAUAGUACGCUUCUCUGGGCACGGUUUGUUUUCUUCCGAACUGUCGCAAGACUCGAAAUGGUGCGUAAGGGCGAAUUCUCCGAAUGCCUGGUAGAGGAAGCACAACAUAUCUACGACUCUCCACGACGACUUCUUUGGAUAUAAAACGGUCGAGCAUCCAUUGGAGGUCUUCUUCUCUCAAUUCGGAGAAAAUUUGAGCACAUCUUCCCCUUGUACUCCGAUUGUCCAUAUUUUCCCAGUAUAAUAAGUCAUUUAGAUCCUUAAGGGUGUUUUUGUUGUCGAGGGUAUGUAGCUCCUGAGUCCCAGCACCCUUUGCCAAAUGGUUGAGGAUCUUCCAUUGGAGGAGUAGGUUACACCCUUGAAAAGUAUCGGUGUCCUUCUUUACACUUUCCCAAGGCCUGAUACAUGUCAGAUAGUAUGACUGGAGCUACAGGAUAGUAUUUUGUUGUCCCUUGAUUUUCAUAUCCUUUGAACAAAGUGUGGACGAGUGUUAUGACUCGGGUACUGAUGCUCAAACUCGGACCGUGAGGGAAGACCAUUGUUCCCAAUAAUGCCACAACAAACGCUAGGGGACGGAUCUCGUUCCAUUCUCUGUAGGAGAUCUUAAACUCUCGAUUGUACGUGGCGUAGAAACUCGCGUGUCCAAAUCGAAUAUAGUCAUCAGUUCGAGCCUGAUUAUCCCUAAGCCCAAUGUGAGUUUUUCUAGUUGGAUUUGCUCCCCCGCCGUCGUUCAAUGAUAGAGAUCUCUGAAUGCUGCGUGGGACUACUGGCACCAGUAGGCGAAGUCCUUUCUUAAUUCGAACCAGUCCGCGAUAUCUUCUACGAAGGGUUUAUUGGGGAUGAAGAUGUCUUCUUGUUUUCUGGAUCUUCUCUGUAUUCCGGUGCCUACGGUGUCCAUACAAUCCCUUAUUCCUCCAGAGUCGGGGUAAUUUCGGCUGUUCCAAAACGAAAAACCAUCUUCUGACUGUCCCAAUACCCCGUAAGUACCUCAAUUAGUUCUGGCCAACCAUUCAUGUUGAUCAGUUCGGUUAAGGCACCUACAUACUUGUUAAGGGUUCUUCUAUGAUCCUCAUCCAAAUCGUUGUACCACAUCGUAGGUUGAGGUGGCGCUGAGACGACCAUAUCCGUUAGAUUUCUCCCCCCAAGUUGGUUUUCACACAUACAUUAUUCGAAUGUCAAACAAUAUGAUGUGUCGUGAGGUCGAAGACCUUAGACACGAUUUUGACGAUUUUUCUACUAAAUGGACUUAAUACACCUUGUGUAUUAAGCCGUCUUAGGCUAAUGCUUAAUUUGAUUUUGGUUUCGCUCUAUCUUAGGUUUUCUAGAAUUUUUUUCAAAUUGACGGUUACCCGAGUCGGACAAACAUCGGGGUGGAGCUACCAAACAACGUCGGAUGACCGCAUUCCGAGUAUUUGUUUGAUACUCCCAAACGAAUUCUUGGGUAUUUCUGAAGAAAGCCGUGAUAAGCCACGUAACUUUCGUUUCCUAAUGCAUACUAUUUGCCGUUUGGCGGGAAUAUGCCAUGAAAUGCAAUAGUUUCGAAAUUAAAGCAACUAAGCAAAUAAACAGUUUAUCGCAAUAGUCAAAUAAAGUUAGUCCUAGGGUUAGAAUCCUCCUCCUCCCCAGCGGAUUCGCCCUUCCCGUUUUAUCGAAAAAUCGAAGAGUUUAUUUUGUUUUAGGAGAUUUUCGACUUUUAGGGAGUCGCCACUUAAUUUUUAAGAAAAAUUAAUAAAACUUGUUUUCAAAUAACUUAAACAGAAAAAUUGUUUGAAAACAUUUAAAAAGGGUUCAGAGAUUCUUAUUAACGUCUUAGGAAGAUUUUGAAGGCACCAAAGACGUUCCGCUUAAUGCGGCUUUCCGGAAACUAACCAUUUGACUAAUAUUUGUUUUAAAAUUUGCAAAUUUUAUUUGAAGUUAAACUUCCUAAAAUUUAAAUUAGGCGAGACUUACGAGUUCGGAAAAUUAUCUCUUUAAUAUUCAAAUUAAUUUUAGGUUUGAUAAAAUAGUAUGACGUUCGAUGGGGUCAGAGUUUUCUAACUCUAAGCUAACGACUACCAAGCGAAGGCACGUAAACGAUAUAGUAAAGGAGGGAGAGAGAGAGAGAGAAAGAGAUUGGGUCCAAUUUCGGGUUCUGUCCGGCUUGACCAAAAUUUGGACCCACCUGCUUUUUGGGGUUUUAACCCACUUCUCGUUUGGGUUUUCGACCCACUCACCUGUCCUAGUUUAAGCAUACAAAAUAAAUACAAGAAAGGUAAAAUACGACAAAGGUUUAUGCCCAAAUUAAAUACAACAUAAGAAAUAAAAAAAAUCUUUUAAUCCGCCUUCUUCAAAAUUUCUUCAAUCUUCAAUCAUUUUACAUGGUACGUCGGCCUUGAUGGGUUGACUCGAUGUAGAAGUCGAGCCUCAAUGGCUCCGUUGCGAAGCGAGGGAAAAUGGGAGUUCAUGAAGAACUCGGAUAAAUUUCGUACAAAAACAAAAUAAAUAAAAAACUUUAGUGCGAUGUUCCACUUCUUAGACAAAAUUAAUAUCAAUUAUUGCAACACACAAGUUCACAAUUUCCAAGGUACUAUUUUAUUAUAACAACACACGCAAACAGUAAUGAAUCAUACCUACCAUUAUCAAAUCUCAACAACUCUUGCACACAUAACAAAAAAAAAACAUGACAUAAAACAAAGAAAACGAUAAUAAUGCCAAGACAAAUCUAAAAUUGUGGGCCAAAUUCAUACUAAUUGAGAAUUAAAUAAAGCAAAACAAAAUAAAAAUGGAAUAUAAAAAAAUCUGAUCUAAUGCUCUUCUUUAACAUGUAGAAGACAAAACCAUUUCCAACUGAAACAAGGAAAUCAUUUUUUAGUUAGCAAAAUCGUACGGCAUCAAAGAUUGAACUGAUUUAGCAAUAAUUUUCAAGCCAACGGAAAAAUCAUUUUUUCAUGCUAUAGAGCAACUUCAAAACCCACAUUAGCAGUAACAUACACGAUUAUAGAGCAACCUAUUUAAAAGCAGGAAUAGAACAAUUUACCUAUAGCUAUUUAAAAAUUACACGCCAAAGUAUUCAAAUACAACUGCAGAAUCUACAAUGCGCUUGGCGAUUUCUGAGCUAAUUCAAAGGAGCACACAUGUAUGGAAAUACAUAUCCUAUUUUCUAGCAACAUGGCCCUACACGGACUAGAUAUAACGAUAAACAUAUCAACAAAAAAAACAUGCCACUGUUUUUGCUAAAAAUAGACACGAGAACAAAAAGACAGAUUUUCUUUUUAUCUAUUUUUAGCAUUUCUCCAACUUUAUGCAAAGCAGCAAGCAAACCAAGGCAACAAAAAGCACAAUAUAAGGUUUAACACAAAUGUUCAAACAAACAGAUAUGUAUUUAAAGCCAAAAAAAAGUGUAAAAUCAACCUUUUAAGGUUGUAAACCUUCUGAAAUAAGACUAAACCAUAAACCCAACCUAAAAUCAAUGACGUACUUCUGCUAGGAGCUGAACUUGAGAAUCAUCUCUGAACCACAAAAUCAUUUAGACGAGACGAAGGUGCAACACAUAAACUUCGAACAAUCAAAAGCACCACAGGUAAAAUCCAAAUUUUGACAUCUCAAUUCAUUCUUUCAACUUGAGGUGAAAGAAUAAAGGAUAAGACAUCGAAUGUUAAGCAUCAGUUCAGAUUCAACUAUAUUAAGGAAAACAUGCUCAAUAAGGAAGAAUAACAGAAUAUCAUCUUUGAUAAAGCUAUCGGACUUCCAAGCUCUAACCGGCUACUGUAUUUACUUAAUGAAUCUAACAGAAACACAUGAGUUAUAUAUAUAAAAAAAAAAACUCCAGAACACACAUCAUGUAAUGUCGAUCCAAUAGUGACAAACAAUCCAGCAGACACACAACAAAGGUUUUCAACCCUUAAUCCAUCACAUUGAAACCAAGAGGCGAAGAAGAUUACGUAAAUGGGGUGUUUACCUGUUGAUGAGCUGCGAUACUUGGGAUUCGAGCUAAACAAGGAUGAGCUUCCACGCCGAAAGCAAACACGAACGACGGCUACGACGUUUCAAUGGAAUACCACAGUCGAACACACUGAGAUGAAACAGAACGUAUCUCUCGAUUUCUUCUCAAUUCCCUUUGUUUAUCUCUGUGCUUAUUACGUUUUUGGUAAACCUUUCUAAGACAGAUUGAGCGCUACUCUCGAAAAAAAAUCGAACAGAAAAAAACAAUAGAACAACCUUCUGAGGAAAUCUCAAUCCAUUUUUUUCCAACCCCUUUUCUGAAGAAGAUGGACGUUUAUAUAGAAAAAAAAUUAGGGUUCUUCAAGGGAGAGGGCUGGCAGAUGCCCUUUCAGGCCCAUUAAAAUUCGAAAAACCAAUUCCCAAAUCUUAUCCAAAGGUUGAGGGAAUAUGCCCUGAAGAUGCUCUCGAAUUCGUCCCAUUCCAACGGAAAGGGAGCAUAUGUAGAGGGCUUGGAUCAAUCGCGUGUCCUUGCACCAUUACGUGGAGUGAUCCUACGCUACAAGGACGGAAUUUGCAGCCUUCCCUACUGCAGAGCUACGCGAGCGCACUGCUGUACGGGUGAAGGAGGAAGACGACACAAAAUUUGUUGCUUACGCUUGCGUGAGGCGCGUCGUUGAAGGGGAAGAAGAAGAUCGUUGGGAAAUUUUGCACAUGAAGGAGACGCGGGGGGGGGGGGGGAUUCAGAGAAAUUUCUUCACGCUGCUGGGUUCUGUUUUCUGGGAAUUUCUGUUUUUGGGGAAUUUUCGCGUCUGGGUUGGGAAAAGGAAGAAGGGAUAAACAAGUUUGGGGUUGGG
rnacentral:lncRNA from 1 species